rnacentral:rRNA from 1 species
ACGAACGCUGGCGGCGUGCUUAACACAUGCAAGUCGAACGGUGAAGCGCCUUCCUUUUUGGUGGGUGUGGAUGAGUGGCGAACGGGUGAGUAACACGUGAGUAACCUGCCCCCUUCUUCUGGAUAACCGCAUGAAAGUGUGGCUAAUACGGGAUAUUCUGGGUCUGUCGCAUGAUGGGUCUGGGAAAGAUAUUGUUUCGGUGGGGGAUGGGCUCGCGGCCUAUCAGCUUGUUGGUGGGGUGACGGCCUACCAAGGCGGUGACGGGUAGCCGGCCUGAGAGGGUGGACGGUCACACUGGGACUGAGACACGGCCCAGACUCCUACGGGAGGCAGCAGUGGGGAAUAUUGCACAAUGGGCGCAAGCCUGAUGCAGCGACGCCGCGUGAGGGAUGGAGGCCUUCGGGUUGUGAACCUCUUUCGCCAGUGAAGCAGGCCUGCCUCGUUUGUGGGUGGGUUGACGGUAGCUGGAUAAGAAGCGCCGGCUAACUACGUG